CCUUAGAUGUUCUGGGCCGCACGCGCGCUACACUGAUCGGUCCAACGAGUUCAUCUUGCCUCGGCCGAUAGGUCCGGGCAAUCUCACGAGACCCGAUCGUGCUGGGGAUAGACCGUUGUAAUUAUCGGUCUUCAACGAGGAAUUCCUAGUAGGCGCGGGUCACCAGCCCGUGCCGACUACGUCCCUGCCCUUUGUACACACCGCCCGUCGCUCCUACCGAUCGAAUGGUCCGGCGAAGCCCUCGGAGUUUGAUUCUUUGUGAUUUGGGUAACUGAGUCACAGGGUUAGAUAAAGUAGGCUAAACCUUACCAUUUAGAGGAAGGAGAAGUCGUAACAAGGUU
rnacentral:rRNA from 1 species